rnacentral:tRNA from 1 species
GGUGGCUCAGUGGUAGAGCACAUGCCUUGCAUGCAUGAGGCCGUGGGUUCGAUUCCUCAGCACCA